UAACGAAUCUUCCGCAAUGGGCGCAAGCCUGACGGAGCAAUGCCGCGUGUAGGAUGAAGCGUCUCUGACGUGUAAACUACUGUCAGGGGUCGGAACCAAUGAUUGACCCCAAAGGAAGUGGCGACUAACUCUGUGCCAGCAGUCGCGGUAAUACAGAGGCCACAAGCGUUAGUCGGAAUCACUGGGCUUAAAGGGUGCGUAGGUGGGCUUGCAAGCGUUUUGUGAAAGCCCGUAGCUCAACUACGGAACAGCAGAGCGAACUGCAAGUCUUGAGGCAGGUAAGGGCCGGAAGAACAAACGGUGGAGCGGUGAAAUGCGUAGAUAUCGUUUGGAAUGCCGAUGGGGAAGCCGUCCGGCUGGGCCUGUCCUGACACUGAGGCACGAAAGCGUGGGGAGCAAA
rnacentral:rRNA from 1 species